GAUCAACGCUGGCGGCGUGCAUGAGACAUGCAAGUCGAACGAAGGAUCGGGCUUUCUCGAUCCUUAGUGGCGGACGGCUGAGUAACGCGUAGGUGACCUACCCCGAAGUGGGGAAUAACUGCCCGAAAGGGUGGCUAAUACCGCAUGUGGUCGCACGUUCGUUCGUGCGAGUAAAGCCGCGAGGCGCGUCGGGAGGGGCCUGCGUCCGGUUAGCUCGGUGGUGGGGUAAUGGCGUACCAAGGCGACGGUCGGUAGGGGGUCUGAGAGGACGAGCACCCAGGCCGGGACUGAGACACGGGGCAGAAUCGGAGGGGAGGGAGCAGUGGGGGAUAGUGUGCAACGGCGGAGCCCCGGAAGGAGCAACGCCGCGUGAGGUGUGAAGGCCUGUGGGUUGUGAAGCUCUCUUGGCAGGGGCGAGGAUGACGGUACCUGGUGAAUAAGCCACGGCUAACUACGUG
rnacentral:rRNA from 1 species